rnacentral:rRNA from 1 species
AGUGAACGCUGGCGGUAGGCCUAACACAUGCAAGUCGAACGGCAGCACAUUAAGAGCUUGCUCUUACGGGUGGCGAGUGGCGGACGGGUGCGGAAUACAUCGGAAUCUACUUUUUCGUGGGGUAUAACUUAGGGAAACUUACGCUAAUACCGCAUACGACCUACGGGUGAAAGCAGGUGAUCUUCGUAACUUGCGCGAUUGAAUGAGCCGAUGUCGGAUUAGCUAGUUGGCGGGGUAAAGGCCCACCAAGGCGACGGUCCGUAGCUGGUCUGAGAGGAUGAUCGGCCACACUGGAACUGAAACACGGUCCAGACUCCUACGGGAGGCAGGAGUGGGGAAUAUUGGAAAAUGGGCGCAAGCAUGAUCCAGCAAUACCGCGUGGGUGAAGAAGGCAUUCGGGUUUUAAAGCACUAUUGUUGGGAAAGAAAAGCAGCAGGUUAAUAACAAGAUGUUCUGACGGUACCCAAAGAAUAAGCACCGGCUAACUUCGUG